rnacentral:lncRNA from 1 species
AUAAUAAGUAGCUUUCCACAAGAUUUUCUAAUAGGCGGCUGCAGGAAUAAUUUGGAAUGGUUCUUUCUCCAUUAUUGGACUGCUCAAGACUAGUUGAAUAUGUUCACAUUACAAGGAUAAAUUGCAGCUCAAUAUGCCGUAUCAAAUGAGAUUUAACCAGCAAUACCUAAAAAUAAUGGAUUAUUGUGCAGAGUGACCUGUCUUUGUAUCAAAUGAGGUUUAACCAGCAAUACCUAAAAAUAAUGGAUUAUUGUGCAGAGUGACCUGUCUUUAGAUUAUAGGGUUCAAAGAGUUUGUGAACCUUCUGAAUGCCUUUGCUCUAUGUGCUACUUGCAGAUGGUUAUUUUGUUGACCCCUUUUUAAAAUUAUCACAUUUCUCUAUCUGUUGUAACCUUUUUUUCUUUUUUUAUAGUCCCAACUCCUUGAUACAUUUAUGCACCAAUCUCGGUUUCUAUCAUGUCUAAACCUGGACACUGAAAAAGACAGAAGAAGCUGGAGCAAUGCCAGCUCAAACAAUUUAGAGAAACUUAAGUGCCAGGA